UACGUAGGGUGCGAGCGUUAAUCGGAAUUACUGGGCGUAAAGCGUGCGCAGGCGGUUCGUUGUGUCGGCGGUGAAAGCCCCGGGCUUAACCUGGGAAUGGCCGUCGAAACUGGCGAACUGGAGUGUGGCAGAGGGGGGGUGGAAUUCCGCGUGUAGCAGUGAAAUGCGUAGAGAUGCGGAGGAACACCGAUGCGAAGGCAGCCCCUGGGCUGACACUGACGCUCAGCACGAAAGCGUGGGGAGCAAACAGG
rnacentral:rRNA from 1 species